rnacentral:hammerhead_ribozyme from 1 species
AUCCAACUGACGAGUCCCAAAUAGGACGAAAUGCUCGUCAAACUGGAU